GACGAACGCUGGCGGCGUGCUUAACACAUGCAAGUCGAGCGGUAAGGCCCUUUCGGGGGUACACGAGCGGCGAACGGGUGAGUAACACGUGGGUGACCUGCCCUUAGCUCUGGGAUAAGCCUGGGAAACUGGGUCUAAUACCGGAUAUGACUCCAUGACGCAUGUUGUGGGGUGGAAAGCCUUGUGCGGCUAGGGAUGGGCCCGCGGCCUAUCAGCUUGUUGGUGGGGUGAUGGCCACCAAGGCGACGACGGGUAGCCGGCCUGAGAGGGCGACCGGCCACACUGGGACUGAGACACGGCCCAGACUCCUACGGGAGGCAGCAGUGGGGAAUCUUGCGCAAUGGGCGAAAGCCUGACGCAGCGACGCCGCGUGAGGGAUGACGGCCUCGGU
rnacentral:rRNA from 1 species